rnacentral:rRNA from 1 species
AACGCGAAGAACCUUACCGAGGCUUGACAUAUUGCUGAAAGGUCUAGAGAUAGAUCCGUCCUUCGGGACAGUAAUACAGGUGGUGCAUGGUUGUCGUCAGCUCGUGUCGUGAGAUGUUGGGUUAAGUCCCGCAACGAGCGCAACCCUUGCUUUUAGUUGCCAGCAUUAAGUUGGGCACUCUAAAGGGACUGCCGGUGAUAAAUCGGAGGAAGGUGGGGACGACGUCAAAUCAUCAUGCCCCUUAUGUCUCGGGCUACACACGUACUACAAUGGCUAUUACAGAGGGAAGCGAAGGAGUAAUCUGGAGCAAAUCCAAAAAGAUAGUCCCAGUUCGGAUUGUGGGCUGCAACUCGCCCACAUGAAGUCGGAAUUGCUAGUAAUUGCAGGUCAGCAUACUGCAGUGAAUACGUUCCCGGGUCUUGUACACACCG